rnacentral:tRNA from 1 species
AAAAAUGUAGCUAAAUGGCUCAAAGCUGCAGUUUUUGAUACUGUUUAUUAUUGGUUCGACUCCAUUCAUUUUUA